rnacentral:rRNA from 1 species
AGUGAACGCUGGCGGUAGGCCUAACACAUGCAAGUCGAACGGCAGCACAGUAAUAGCUUGCUCUUACGGGUGGCGAGUGGCGGACGGGUGAGGAAUACAUCGGAAUCUACUUUUUCGUGGGGGAUAACGUAGGGAAACUUACGCUAAUACCGCAUACGACCUACGGGUGAAAGCAGGGGAUCUUCGGACCUUGCGCGAUUGAAUGAGCCGAUGUCGGAUUAGCUAGUUGGCGGGGUAAAGGCCCGCCAAGGCGACGAUCCGUAGCUGGUCUGAGAGGAUGAUCAGCCACACUGGAACUGAGACACGGUCCAGACUCCUACGGGAGGCAGCAGUGGGGAAUAUUGGACAAUGGGCGCAAGCCUGAUCCAGCCAUACCGCGUGGGUGAAGAAGGCCUUCGGGUUGUAAAGCCCUUUUGUUGGGAAAGAAAAGCAGCAGGUUAAUACCCCGCUGUUCUGACGGUACCAAAAGAAUAAGCACCGGCUAACUUCGUG